AUGGCAUAUACUAUAUUUUUAUUAAGUGUCACUUUGGUUAUAGGAUUUGUAGGUUUCUCUUCGAAACCUUAUCCUAUUUACGGAGGUCUAGGGCUAAUUAUUAGUGGUGCUGUGGGUUGAAUUUGUUGAAUUUUGGUGGUGCUUUCGUGGGGUUGAUGUUUUUUUAAUUCCCCAUUUGUGUGGUAUGAUGAUUGUUUAUGGCUAUACCACAGCGAUGGCUACUGAGGAGUAUCCUGAAACAUGAGGGUCAAGUAUUGAUAUCUGAGGAGCCUUAUUAUUAGGACUAAUAAUGGAGUUGAUGCUGGUUCUGUGAAUAGUUGAGCAUGAUGCAGUGAGGAUCAUGGUUAAUUUUAAUAGCAUAAAGAGCUGGACGAUUUUUGAGGGUGAGGGGGCAGGGUUGUUGCGUGAAGAUUCUGUGUAUGUGGCUGCCUUGUACAGUUAUGAAUGCUGAUUAGUGGUAGUUGCUGGUUGAUGAUUAUUUGUUGGUAUUUAUGUUCUGAUUGAAAUUAUCAGGAUAAU
rnacentral:lncRNA from 1 species